UGAGGAAUAUUGGUCAAUGGACGGAAGUCUGAACCAGCCAAGUAGCGUGCAGGAUGACGGCCCUAUGGGUUGUAAACUGCUUUUGUAUGGGGAUAAAGUCAAUCACGUGUGAUUGUUUGCAGGUACCAUACGAAUAAGGACCGGCUAAUUCCGUGCCAGCAGCCGCGGUAAUACGGAAGGUUCGGGCGUUAUCCGGAUUUAUUGGGUUUAAAGGGAGCGUAGGCCGGAGAUUAAGUGUGUUGUGAAAUGUAGACGCUCAACGUCUGACUUGCAGCGCAUACUGGUUUCCUUGAGUACGCACAACGUUGGCGGAAUUCGUCGUGUAGCGGUGAAAUGCUUAGAUAUGACGAAGAACUCCGAUUGCGAAGGCAGCUGACGGGAGCGCAACUGACGCUGAAGCUCGAAGGUGCGGGUAUCGAACAGGAUUAGAUACCCUGGUAGUCCGCACAGUAAACGAUGGAUGCCCGCUGUUGGUACCUGGUAUCAGCGGCUAAGCGAAAGCAUUAAGCAUCCCACCUGGGGAGUACGCCGGCAACGGUG
rnacentral:rRNA from 1 species